UCACGCCCGAAGUCGUUACUUCAACCCGCAAGGGAGGAGGAUGCCGAAGGUGGGGCUGAUGACUGGGGUGAAGUCGUAACAAGGUAGCCGUACCGGAAGGUGCGGCUGGAUCACCUCCUAACAGGGAUAUUAAACAUUGAAUGAUGAUCAUCAAUUUUGUAUGGUCCAUUUAACUGUUCAUCUCUAGGUCGAUCGGUACCUCAAUGACCCUUCAAUUUUAAGUAAUCUAUUUAUUUAGUUCACUUAAUUAUUAAUGUGGUUAUCUCGGUCCUUAAGCUUGUCUAGGUCACACCCCAUAGCUGCUAAGCUAUGGAGAUGGGCCCGAAAGGGUUCCUGGGCCAUUAGCUCAGGUGGUUAGAGCGCACCCCUGAUAAGGGUGAGGUCCCUGGUUCAAGUCCAGGAUGGCCCAUUCAACAUCCCCAGGGAUGAUUGGGGGUUUAGCUCAGUUGGUAGAGCGCCUGCUUUGCAAGCAGGAUGUCAGCGGUUCGAGUCCGCUAACCUCCAUCGAACAUUUGUGAUCUAGAAGGUAAUGGUGAAACCAGCCUCGUUUGAUUCUUUAAUCAUUAAGUCCAUGUUUUGGCCUUAUUUGAGAAGUUCAAACGAUGCUGGGCUCAGCAAUGGGUUCAGCAAAGAACCUUGACAACUGCAUAGGUGAAUCUGGAAAUAAGCAUCUAACAGAUGAUCCAGAAGAAGGUUUUGUAAACGAAAGUUUGCUUUAUUUUCUAAUGGAUCAAACAAUUCUGUAGAAAGCCGAGAUCUAGCUUUAUUGGGGAAACUCUUCUUUCACGAGGGGAGUGAAACUAAUUUAGUUAGAUAAAAAUGGUCAAGUUACAAAGGGCUCACGGUGGAUACCUAGGCACACAGAGG
rnacentral:misc_RNA from 1 species